rnacentral:rRNA from 1 species
AGAUUGAACGCUGGCGGCAUGCCUAACACAUGCAAGUCGAACGGGAGUAGCAAUACUCUAGUGGCGGACGGGUGAGGAAUACGUAGGAAUUUGCCCUUAAGUGGGGGAUAACCCGGGGAAACCCGGAUUAAUACCGCAUGACCUCGAAAGAGCAAAGUGGGGGAUCGCAAGACCUCACGCUUUUGGAGAAGCCUACGUCGGAUUAGCUAGUUGGUGAGGUAAUGGCUCACCAAGGCGACGAUCCGUAACUGGUCUGAGAGGAUGAUCAGUCACACCGGAACUGAGACACGGUCCGGACUCCGUACGGGAGGCAGCAGUGGGGAAUAGUUGGACAAGUGGGCGCAAGCCUGAUCCAGCAAUGGCCGCGUGUGUGAAGAAGGUCCGUUGGGUUAGUAAAGUCUACGUUUAAGGUUAGGAAACGUAAAAAAC